CCAAACUUGGUCAUUUAGAGGAAGUAAAAGUCGUAACAAGGUUUCCGUAGGUGAACCUGCGGAAGGAUCAUUACCGAGUGUCGGGUGCUGUAGCGGCCCCCACUCCCACCCCUGUGUACCGGAGAUGAGCCAUCUGCCUCGGCGUGCGGCCCUAGCCGGCGCGCGCCGGCGGCACACACCUAGACCCCUUUGACACCCCCUGACGCACAAUCUCUUAAGGUUAGAAAACUUUCAACAACGGAUCUCUUGGUUCUGGCAUCGAUGAAGAACGCAGC
rnacentral:misc_RNA from 1 species